rnacentral:rRNA from 1 species
AGCUUGCUUUAGAUUAGUUAGUGGCAAACGGGUGAGUAACGCAUAGGAAUUUUCCCAUCAGUAUGGAAUAACAUUUAGAAAUAAGUGCUAAUACCAUAUAUUCUCUUAGGAGGAAAGAUUUAUCGCUGAUGGAUAAGCCUAUGUCAGAUUAGGUAGUUGGUAGGGUAAUGGCCUACCAAGCCAAUGAUCUGUAGCUGGUCUGAGAGGAUGAUCAGCCACACUGGGACUGAGACACGGCCCAG